AUUGAACGCUGGCGGCAGGCCUAACACAUGCAAGUCGAACGAGUGGCGGAAGUGUUAUUAAUGUCUGGGAACCUGCCCGAUGGAGAGCGAUAACUACUGGAAACGGUUGCUAAUACCGCAUACAAUCAGCGGUGCCCAGAUGGGCUUAGCUUGUUGGUGGGGUAACGGCUCACCAAGGCGACGAUCCCUAGCUGGUCUGAGAGGAUGACCAGCCACACGGGAACUGAGACACGGUCCAGACUCCUACGGGAGGCAGCAGUGGGGAAUAUUGCACAAUGGGCGCAAGCCUGAUGCAGCCAUGCCGCGUGUAUGAAGAAGGCCUUCGGGUUGUAAAGUACUUUCGGCAGGAAAGCGUUACCCGCAGAAGAAGCACCGGCUAACUCCGUGCCAGCAGCCGCGGUAAUAC
rnacentral:rRNA from 1 species